GGCGAGGCUGAAAAGCGUAGUCGAUGGGAAACAGGUUAAUAUUCCUGUACUUGGUAAAGCUGCGAUGUGGGGACGGAGUAGGUUAGGUUAUCGCACUGUUGGAUAUGUGCGUUUAAGUUGGUAGGUGGGAAGUUUAGGCAAAUCCGGACUUCCUUAACACAGAGAGAUGAUGACGAGGCUCUACGGAGCUGAAGUAACUGAUACCACACUUCCAGGAAAAGCCACUAAGCGAAAGGCUUUACUAAACCGUACUGAAAACCGACACAGGUGGUCAGGUAGAGAAUACUCAGGCGCUUGAGAGAACUCGGGUGAAGGAACUAGGCAAAAUAGCACCGUAACUUCGGGAGAAGGUGCGCCGGCGUAGAUUGUAAGGGCUAGCCCCUGAAGGUUGAACCGGUCGAAGUGACCCGCUGGCUGCAACUGUUUAUUAAAAACACAGCACUCUGCAAACACGAAAGUGGACGUAUAGGGUGUGAUGCCUGCCCGGUGCUGGAAGGUUAAUUGAUGGUGUAAUCGCAAGAGAAGCACCUGAUCGAAGCCCCAGUAAACGGCGGCCGUAACUAUAACGGUCCUAAGGUAGCGAAAUUCCUUGUCGGGUAAGUUCCGACCUGCACGAAUGGCAUAAUGAUGGCCAGGCUGUCUCCACCCGAGACUCAGUGAAAUUGAAAUCGCCGUGAAGAUGCGGUGUACCCGCGGCUAGACGGAAAGACCCCGUGAACCUUUACUAUAGCUUGACACUGAACAUUGAAUUUUGAUGUGUAGGAUAGGUGGGAGCCUUUGAAGCAGUGACGCCAGUCAUUGUGGAGGCGACCUUGAAAUACCACCCUUUAACGUUUGAUGUUCUAACGAAGAUGACGAAACGUGGUCUCGGACAGUGUCUGGUGGGUAGUUUGACUGGGGCGGUCUCCUCCCAAAGCGUAACGGAGGAGCACGAAGGUUUGCUAAUCACGGUCGGACAUCGUGAGGUUAGUGCAAUGGUAUAAGCAAGCUUAACUGCGAGACAGACAAGUCGAGCAGGUACGAAAGUAGGUCAUAGUGAUCCGGUGGUUCUGAAUGGAAGGGCCAUCGCUCAACGGAUAAAAGGUACUCCGGGGAUAACAGGCUGAUACCGCCCAAGAGUUCAUAUCGACGGCGGUGUUUGGCACCUCGAUGUCGGCUCAUCACAUCCUGGGGCUGAAGUAGGUCCCAAGGGUAUGGCUGUUCGCCAUUUAAAGUGGUACGCGAGCUGGGUUUAGAACGUCGUGAGACAGUUCGGUCCCUAUCUGCCGUGGGCGUAGGAGAAUUGGUUGGGGCUGCUCCUAGUACGAGAGGACCGGAGUGGACGCACCACUGGUGUUCCGGUUGUGUCGCCAGACGCAUUGCCGGGUAGCUAAGUGCGGAAGAGAUAAGUGCUGAAAGCAUCUAAGCACGAAACUUGCCAAGAGAUGAGUUCUCCC
rnacentral:rRNA from 1 species